UACGUAGGGGGCAAGCGUUGUCCGGAUUUAUUGGGCGUAAAGAGCGUGUAGGCGGCCAGGUAGGUCCGUUGUGAAGACUCGAGGCUCAACCUCGAGACGCCGAUGGAAACCAUCUGGCUAGAGUCCGGAAGAGGAGAGUGGAAUUCCCGGUGUAGCGGUGAAAUGCGCAGAUAUCGGGAAGAACACCCGUGGCUAAGGCGGCUCUCUCAGACGGUACUGGACGCUGAGACGCGAAAGCGUGGGGAGCGAACAGG
rnacentral:rRNA from 1 species